CAGGUGCAAUAGGUAGUUGCUGGUAGCGUAAGCUACGAGAGGAAAGUCCGGGCUACAGGUGAGACAGGACUCCAUCUAACGGAUGGCCAGAGUAAUCUGAGGGCAAGUGCAACAGAGAGUAGACCGCCAAGCCUUUGGCUUGGUAAGGGUGAAAGGGUGGGGUAAGAGCCCACCAGUGCUUGUGGUAACAUAGGCAGCUAGGUAAACCCUGUCCGUAGCAAGAAGUAUAUGGUAUGAGUCUCACAAGCCAUUAAAUUGGCACUCAUACUUCGCUUGAGCGUAUUGGCAACAAUACGCCUAGAUAAAUAACUACCCACGACAAAACCCGGCUUAUCGUUGCACCUGAUUU
rnacentral:RNase_P_RNA from 1 species